GUGGAUUAGAUACCCUGGUAGUCCACGCCGUAAACGAUGGAUACUAGCUGUUGGGAGUAAUCUCAGUGGCUAAGCGAAAGUGAUAAGUAUCCCACCUGGGGAGUACGAACGCAAGUUUGAAACUCAAAGGAAUUGACGGGGGCCCGCACAAGCGGUGGAGCAUGUGGUUUAAUUCGAUGAUACGCGAGGAACCUUACCAAGGCUUAAAUGUAGAUUGACCGGUUUGGAAACAGACUUUUCGCAAGACAAUUUACAAGGUGCUGCACGGUUGUCGACAGCU
rnacentral:rRNA from 1 species